rnacentral:rRNA from 1 species
CCCUUAGAUGUUCUGGGCCGCACGCGCGCUACACUGACGAAGUCAGCGAGCAUGUCCUACGCCGACAGGUGCGGGGAAUCUUGUCAAACUUCGUCGUGAUGGGGAUUGAUUAUUGAAAUUCUUGAUCAUCAACGAGGAAUUCCUAGUAAGCGCAAGUCAGCAGCUUGCGUUGAUUACGCCCCUGCCCUUUGUACACACCGCCCGUCGCUACUACCGAUUGAAUGGUUUAGUGAGAUCUUCGGAUUGGCGCCACUGCGGCUCAGCAAUGGGCUCGGUGGAUGCCGAAAAGUUGAUCAAACUUGAUCAUUUAGAGGAAGUAAAAGUCGUAACA